GAACGCGAAGAACCUUACCCGGGCUUGAAUUGCAGAGGAAGGAUUUAGAGAUAAUGACGCCCUUCGGGGUCUCUGUGAAGGUGCUGCAUGGUUGUCGUCAGCUCGUGCCGUGAGGUGUCGGCUUAAGUGCCAUAACGAGCGCAACCCCUCUCUUCAGUUGCCAUCAGGUUAAGCUGGGCACUCUGGAGACACUGCCACCGUAAGGUGUGAGGAAGGUGGGGAUGACGUCAAAUCAGCACGGCCCUUACGUCCGGGGCUACACACGUGUUACAAUGGCCGGUACAGAGGGAUGGUGUAAUGCAAAUUGCAUCAAAUCUUGGAAGCCGGUCCCAGUUCGGACUGGGGUCUGCAACCCGACCCCACGAAGCUGGAUUCGCUAGUAAUCGCGCAUCAGCCAUGGCGCGGUGAAUACGUUCCCGGGUCUUGUACACACC
rnacentral:rRNA from 1 species